AUCCCUUGAAAUAAGCAAAGAGACACCUUGUUGGUGGUGGUGUUCUUUCAUCAGUCAAAGGCAGAGCAGAUGGUAGUCCUUUGUUCAUUGUAGCCUGAUGCCUGACUUGGUGACCAAAACUGUCUUUUGCAUAGGACUCAUAA